rnacentral:rRNA from 1 species
GAUGAACGCUGGCGGCGUGCCUAAUACAUGCAAGUCGAGCGGACGGACGAGGCGCUUGCUUCUCUGAUGUUAGCGGAGGGCGGGUGAGUAACACGUGGAUACCCUCCUUAUAAGACUGGGAUCACUUCGGGAAACCGGCGCUAAUACCGGAUAAUAUUUUGAACCGCAUGGUUCAAUAGUAAAAUACGGUCUUGCUGUCACUACUCGCUGGAUCCGCGCUGCAUUAGCUAGUUGGUACGGUAACGGCUUACCAAGGCUACGAUGCCUAGCCGACCUGCGAGAGUGAUCGGCCACACUGGAAGUGAGACAGGGUCCAGAGUCCUGCGGGAGGCAGCAGUAGGGAACGUGCCGCAGUGGGCGAGAGCCUGGCGGAGCAACGCCGCGUGAGUGAUGAAGGUCUUCGGAGCGGAAAGAUCUGUUAUUGGGGAAGAACAGAUGUGGAAGGAACUGAGCACAGCGUGACGGUACCGAAUCAGGAAGCCACGGCUAACUACGUG